AUUUAUUUAAAUUUCAUCUCAUCUUUUGUUUUAGUUUAUUAAUUUUACACGAUAAAUUAUGUAAAAUUACCAGUACAUGCACAAUAUCUGCAUGCAACACAUACAUACAGUGCAUAUGUAUACACCAUUACAUUUAAUGUUAAAAUUCAGUCGCCAAUUAAAAACAAUUAAAAUAGCUAAAAAAAAAAAAAAAGACAGAGAGAUCAUGAGGAAAUCAUCUUUGUGAUCAAAGGUUCAUGAUGGUUAAGAUUCAUGUAACAGCAGAGUUCAUUUUGUACUUUGUUUCUGUGCUUGACUUGAGAUGAAGCAGAGGAAAUACACACAAAAACACGCAAAUGCAGUUAAGACCUUAGGCAUCAACAAAGCUGUCAUGCUAAUUUCUAGCAUGAUCGAUGCGUAAUGGGUUUUAGCACACUACUGCCUCACUGGCCCAGCAGCACAAAUACGUGCUAGCUAUGUGAAUUUUUAAAAAGCAUGUGUUCAUAUUUAAGUACCUCAAACAAUAAAAUUAUGGUUUACCUUUUCUAAAUGAGCACAGACGAUCACAGAUACAGCUUUGAAUGAAAUACAGCUUUGAAUGAAA